rnacentral:rRNA from 1 species
UACGUAGGGGGCAAGCGUUGUCCGGAAUUAUUGGGCGUAAAGCGCGUGUAGGCGGCCAGAUAAGUCCGCUGUGAAAUCUCGAGGCUCAACUUCGAGCUGUCGGUGGAAACUGUCUGGCUAGAGUCCGGAAGAGGAGAAUGGAAUUCCUGGUGUAGCGGUGAAAUGCGCAGAUAUCAGGAAGAACACCCGUGGCGAAGGCGGUUCUCUGGGAAUGUCCUGACGCUGAGACGCGAAAGCGUGGGGAGCGAACAGG